UGACUCACUAGGUAUAUCCUGAACUGUGUGAUAUGACUGACUCACUAGGUAUAUCCUGAACUGUGUGAUAUGACUCACUAGGUAUAUCCUGAACUGUGUGUGAUAUGACUCACUAGGUAUAUCCUGAACUGUGUGUGAUAUGACUCACUAGGUAUAUCCUGAACUGUGUGUGAUAUGACUCACUAGGUAUAUCCUGAACUGUGUGUGAUAUGACUCACUAGGUAUAUCCUGAACUGUGUGUGAUAUGACUCACUAGGUAUAUCCUGAACUGUGUGUGAUAUGACUCACUAGGUAUAUCCUGAACUGUGUGAUAUGACUGACUCACUAGGUAUAUCCUGAACUGUGUAUGAUAUGACUGACUCACUAGGUAUAUCCUGAACUGUGUGUGAGAUAUUACUCACUAGGUAUAUCCUGAACUGUGUGUGAUAUGACUCACAAGGUAUAUCCUGAAGUGUGUGUGAUAUGACUCACAAGGUAUAUCCUGAACUGUGUGUGAUAUGACUCACUAGGUAUAUCCUGAAGUGUGUGUGAUAUGACUCACUAGGUAUAUCCUGAACUGUGUGAUAUGACUGACUCACUAGGUAUAUCCUGAACUGUGUGUGAUAUGACUCACUAGGUAUAUCCUGAACUGUGUGAUAUGACUCACUAGGUAUAUCCUGAACUGUGUGAUAUGACUGACUCACUAGGUAUAUCCUGAACUGUGUGUGAUAUGACUCACUAGGUAUAUCCUGAACUGUGUGAUAUGACUGACUCACUAGGUAUAUUCUGAACUGUGUGUGAUAUGACUCACUAGGUAUAUCCUGAACUGUGUGUGAUAUGACUCACUAGGUAUAUCCUGAACUGUGUGUGAUAUGACUCACUAGGUAUAUCCUGAACUGUGUGUGAUAUGACUCACAAGGUAUAUCCUGAACUGUGUGAGAUAUGACUCACUAGGUAUAUCCUGAACUGUGUGUGAUAUGACUCACUAGGUAUAUCCUGAACUGUGUGAGAUAUGACUCACUAGGUAUAUCCUGAACUGUGUGUGAUAUGACUCACUAGGUAUAUCCUGAACUGUGUGAUAUGACUCACUAGGUAUAUCCUGAACUGUGUGUGAUAUGACUAACUAGGUAUAUCCUGAACUGUGUGAUAUGACUCACUAGGUAUAUCCUGAACUGUGUGUGAUAUGACUCACUAGGUAUAUCCUGAACACCUCUGAGUGUGCAGAGUGUAGCAUCAGCAGUCUUUAACUCCAGAGAGACAGUGACCCCAGGAGACGGCUUAUAGAUCAGAGACACAAAGACCCUGGAGGAUAGAGGCACCUGGAGAGAAAAGAUCCUGGGAGGGGAGAGAGGAGAUGGGAAAAGAGAGGGAGCGAGGGAAAGAGAGGAAACGAGUGGAAGGGGAAGAGGGAGAAGGGAAGAGAGAGAGGGGCCAUAGCAUUUGAAUCCUUAAAGCUGUAAGAGGAAUAUACUAGCCCUCAUGAACGCACACUCCCCUACACACUGCCCUACCUGGCGCAGACUUUAGACAGCAUGGAGGGUAGGACGCCCUCUACGAGCAGAGAGCUGCCCCCGCUCCAAGCAUCUUCAGGGCAGCCCUGGGUCCUCAGCCAGCCCUCCCCCUCAAGGGUCUCUUUGUAGUAUAGGGGUUGCAGCUCCUGGGCAUCCAGGUUGAACCAGCUACGAUCCACCUCACGCUACACAACCCAGCAGACAGACACACAGGACAGAUCAGAGGGUAACUACAGGACACAAAUAGGACAGAAACCCAUUCAGUGAUACAUAUUGCAGUACAAUGCAUUCCAAAGAAGACCCAGAUCCUUGUUGUUACUAGUAGUGUGACAGUCAUGGCAUUUUGGAUGCCGAUAAUUGGGCAGCCAAAUGACCGCAGUCUCCGUAAUAACCGCUGAACACAUUUUCUCCCUUCCUCCUCUCCUAACUGCAUGUGCUGCCAUAGAAAUAAAAUGAAUAGAACAGGCAUCCCCAUUCAAGUCAAUGAUGGCAUAAUGGGUGGACUGGCAGCCAUUGUGAGUGUUCCCAUAGGAGCAAAGCAGGAAGUAUACCCAUCAAUAUGUGCUGUGAUUUGUUGAUACAACUCAACUGACAAAUACAUUACAUUGCAUGAGCCACAUCAGUUAACAUCAUUUGAAUGAAAAUUCUACAUUAUCAUGGAAAGUACUGCAUCACAAUACCCAGGCAGCCAUGGUGGGGGCAAUUUUAUGAAUAUUAUCGACCGGCAGGUGAUUGGUUGAGCCUUCUUGAGUGUGUGACAUCACUAUGAGCCUUACCGAAACAUGGCGGACAAUUUCUCUUGCCUCGGAUCUGAAACCAGUAUUAACCACCAACUUCAAUGGCAGUUCACAUACAUUUAAAAUACAAAUAUUACAUUCCUGCUCUCCAAUAGCAUUGUCGCAGAGGAGGGCUUGCUAGCUAGCUUCAGUGUUUGAGUCAUAGCUUAGCUAGCUAGCGAAUGCUAAUUUGCGACGUUAACUAGGCUCGGGAGCUCAUGGGGACAUAUGCUUCAGCCAGGAGCCAGCGGGUUAGAUAUGAUUCAACUGGCUACUUGUUUGUUUUCAGCCAAAUAUGUUCUCAUAGCUAGUUUAUCCAGCGACCACCGCAUUUAGAAGGAUAGCUACUGACUGAAAUGUAGCUAGCAUUCUGGCUCACACUGGACGUGCAGUAGCCAACUAGUUAGUUAGCUAGCUAAUCGUGGAUGCCAAAAUACACAACUCUUUAGACUUGGGAGCUCAUGGGAACACAGGCUACCUAGAAAUGAUCCCACCACGAGCAACAAUAACUGGCGACUAGGUUAUUUUCAGACAAAUAGUUUAGUUUAACUUAGUUUAUCCACUGACCAGCGCAUUUAGGAGGGUAGAUAAUUAUUUCAAUGUAGCUAGCUAGAUCACUGACCAGGCAGUAGCCACUAACUAAUUGUGGACGCAUGACCUAUCCUUUGAUACAUUUGGGUUAACUUGCUCAUAUCAAGGAACGCAUACAGACCGUUUGUGGAAAGGUAAAAAUAACAAUUAUAGAUUGGUAGUGUUGGGUUUUAUUUCACUUAUUAGAUGUGAUGCAUUACCAUUUACAGUAGAUGUAGGCCUAAGUAUGAACGGACUGUAAUGCACUAAGAGGUUUAUAUUGUAUCAACAUAGAUUGAGCAACAUAUAAUAGACAUGACUAACGGGAGGGGCUGAUAGAAUGGAAGAUAGCUGUAGCACAAAAGCAGAAACUGUAGCAUAGAAACAGGCACUGUCCUUGAGUGUCUGACUCUCGGUUACACACACGAAGAUAAGCUAGAAGACAACUAUGCCUGGCAACAAAGAUGCGUCUAGAGGCUGGGACCAGCCUGCACGCCAACGAUAGGCUGGAGUAAGUCUAAACCACACCCAAGCCUCUACUAUGACAGGCCCUCAGGGAGAGGGAACUACGUCUGUCAAGAAGUAUUUAAGGAAGAACUUAUGAUGUCAUUUCAGUUCUCUGUCUGCCCUGCGUGGUGUUACAGGGAGCCCGUAUAUACGAACUUCAUAUUUACCAUUUAAAUGUUUGCUUCAUUAAAUACAUAACUAAAGGAA